AAGGAAAAAAAAGAUGAAAAAAAGAUGGUUGCUCCCUCAUUGACUUGGAAUUCUCUGGACUCCAAUUCACGUGGUCGAACUUACUAUCCUCAUCGUUCCUCAUCCUGGAGAGACUUGAUCGUGUGAUUGCAAAUGCUGCCUGGCGGGCUCUGUUUCCUGGGCCGUAGUGUAUCAUCUUCCCCGAUCAAACUCAAAUGAUAGCCCUUUACUUCUAUCCCUUCGGCAAUCCAGCUCGGAUUUGUUCUUCAUCAGUCGGCUUUGACAGCACUGCCUAAAAAAUUAAACCGUCAUUGCAGCCCGAUUGCAGGAACUCGUCAUAGAUUUUCUUCUGCACCACGGCCUUGGGUGAGUUCUACUUCCAAGGUGGCUCUCAUUUGCUCGGUAAGCUUUGACAAGCCGUUUCAUGAUGGGUCGUCAAUAGAGAGACCUCCUGAUUGCAGCUUGCUUGAAACAGGAACAGGCACUAACUUGACCUAGUUUGGGUCAAGUGUCGAUCAUCCGCCAUUGUAACUCGGCAGUUAGCAUCUUCAAGGACUUGGUCCAUUUGUUUAUGUGAUUACACUGCUCAGAUCAUCCUUGACUCUCUGAGAGCUGUGAGAUUGUUUGGUAGGACAUUGGCUAUGAUGAGAAUGAGCUCACAUGUGAGCCUGGAUAUAUGCUCGGCAGGGUUUGAUUAGAAUGAGCUCACAUUGGGAAGACAGUUCGAGAGAAUGGUACGUAUCUGGAGGAUUGAAAUGCCUAUAAGUCUAAAUGACUACAUCUUUGCUUGUUACCAUGCAUAUAAAUGAUAUCUAGGCCUACAACAUACAAUCUGAAGGUCUGGCAAAUCCAGAGGUGAUGCUGAAACUUCUAAAGAUUAAUACGAUCUAUUAAUAGAGCUCUCAGAUUAGGGAAAAUCUAUGUUGGUUGCUGUAGAACUGGCAUGGUCAUAGUUGUAUAGUAUCCAUAGAGUAGUGUACUGUCCAAGAGGAUAAUAUGAAGAGUCAAGAGUGCAAAGUUUCGCAUAAUUCAACGGAAAUAAUCCCCAGAACACAGAAAGUCCAACGAUGUCAUCAAAGAAGUGUUCACUGUUGAACUUUAGGACCAAACGCGAACUCAAGAAACUUGUACCAAUCAAGCGCUUUUACAAAGCACAGACUGAGGCUUUCUUGGCACA